rnacentral:lncRNA from 1 species
GUGGAGGCUUGCUCUGAAGUGUUUGCAUUGCAAGUGACAUCUGGCUGACAGGAACGUGGAGAAAUGGAAUCCGAAGUGAAUGCUGCAGUUACCACAAGCCUCAUAUUUAUCAAAAGGUUUAAGCUGCAGAAACAGAGAUGGAAACAUGGAGACCAUUGUGAAAUCUUCAAUAAAAAUACAGGUGGCCCUUGUUCAUUUCCUGAAAUUCGAAAUUUCAAUAAACUAGAAAAAUGGAAAACAUUAGCUGAUCUCCUGGAGAAAAAUGCUGUGUAUAUUUAUUUACAAUAGUUUUGAAUGUCUUUUUCAGUUUUGAUAACAGCAUAUUGAUAAUCUGCAAAUAUACAAUUAUAUUAAAAAU